rnacentral:tRNA from 1 species
GGUCGCGUGGCCUAAUGGUUAAGGCGCUGGUUUUCGGAACAAGGAGAUUGAGCGUUCGAAUCGCUCCGUGAUCG